CGAGCGCAACCCUUGUCCUUAGUUACCAGCACGUUAUGGUGGGCACUCUAAGGAGACUGCCGGUGACAACCGGAGGAAGGUGGGGAUGACGUCAAGUCAUCAUGGCCCUUACGGCCUGGGCUACACACGUGCUACAAUGGUCGGUACAAAGGGUUGCCAAGCCGCGAGGUGGAGCUAAUCCCAUAAAACCGAUCGUAGUCCGGAUCGCAGUCUGCAACUCGACUGCGUGAAGUCGGAAUCGCUAGUAAUCGUGAAUCAGAAUGUCACGGUGAAUACGUUCCCGGGCCUU
rnacentral:rRNA from 1 species